ACUCAAAGGAAUAGACGGGGACCCGCACAAGCGGUGGAUGAUGUGGAUUAAUUCGAUGCAACGCGAAAAACCUUACCUACCCUUGACAUGGUCGGAAUCCUGAAGAGAUUUGGGAGUGCUCGAAAGAGAACCGGCGCACAGGUGCUGCAUGGCUGUCGUCAGCUCGUGUCGUGAGAUGUUGGGUUAAGUCCCGCAACGAGCGCAACCCUUGUCAUUAGUUGCUACGAAAGGGCACUCUAAUGAGACUGCCGGUGACAAACCGGAGGAAGGUGGGGAUGACGUCAAGUCCUCAUGGCCCUUAUGGGUAGGGCUUCACACGUCAUACAAUGGUACAUACAGAGGGCCGCCAACCCGCGAGGGGGAGCUAAUCCCAGAAAGUGUAUCGUAGUCCGGAUUGCAGUCUGCAACUCGACUGCAUGAAGUUGGAAUCGCUAGUAAUCGCGGAUCAGCAUGUCGCGGUGAAUACGUUCCCGGGUCUUGUACACACCGCCCGU
rnacentral:rRNA from 1 species